AUUAAAUACAUGCUCUGUUUACUUCCCUGUGCCAAGAAGGGAAGAAAGAAACGUAAUCUUUUGGAACUCUGGAGAUGGCCUUGCGGAACCUCAUUCAUGCCUAGCUUGCUGCAAGUGAAGUCUGAAACUCUCCUAAAAGAUCCCUUUGGAAAGUUUUCUGCAUGCUCGAGUGCCCUAAGCCAUGAUGACAUGGGCUACUUUUGUUUGCUUCUCUGCAAGCAUUAAGAGCUUUCCUGGAGUGACCUGAAUGGGUGUCACAUGCA